AACGAACGCUGGCGGCAGGCUUAACACAUGCAAGUCGAGCGAGGGCUUCGGCCCUAGCGGCGGACGGGUGAGUAACGCGUGGGAACGUGCCCUUCUCUCUGGAAUAGCCCUGGGAAACCGGGAGUAAUGCCGGAUACGCCCGCCUCGAGUAGAUCGGGGCGGGAAAGAUUAAUCGGGGAAGGAUCGGCCCGCGUCGGAUUAGGUAGUUGGUGGGGUAACGGCCCACCAAGCCGACGAUCCGUAGCUGGUUUGAGAGGAUGAUCAGCCACACUGGGACUGAGACACGGCCCAGACUCCUACGGGUGGCUGU
rnacentral:rRNA from 1 species